UCCUCCAAGGCUAAAUACUCCUGACUGACCGAUAGUGAACCAGUACCGUGAGGGAAAGGCGAAAAGAACCCCGGCGAGGGGAGUGAAAAAGAACCUGAAACCGUGUACGUACAAGCAGUGGGAGCACCCUUCGGGGUGUGACUGCGUACCUUUUGUAUAAUGGGUCAGCGACUUAUAUUCUGUAGCAAGGUUAACCGUAUAGGGGAGCCGGAGGGAAACCGAGUCUUAACCGGGCGUUAAGUUGCAGGGUAUAGACCCGAAACCCGGUGAUCUAGCCAUGGGCAGGUUGAAGGUUGGGUAACACUAACUGGAGGACCGAACCGACUAAUGUUGAAAAA
rnacentral:rRNA from 5 species